rnacentral:misc_RNA from 1 species
UCCGAGUUGACCCCGGCAGUCUCCUACGAGUCCCCGCCUUUACGCGCUGGCAACAUAGGACAAGGGUUGCGCUCGUUGCGGGACUUAACCCAACAUCUCACGACACGAGCUGACGACAACCAUGCACCACCUGUGCAGGGCCCUUGCGGACCCCGUAUCUCUACGAGAUUUCCCUGCAUGUCAAGCCUUGGUAAGGUUCUUCGCGUUGCGUCGAAUUAAGCCACAUGCUCCGCUGCUUGUGCGGGCCCCCGUCAAUUCCUUUGAGUUUCAAUCUUGCGAUCGUACUCCCCAGGUGGAAUACUUAACGCUUUCGCUUAGACGCGUACUGUGUAUCGCACACAUCGAGUAUUCAUCGUUUACGGCGUGGACUAC